rnacentral:rRNA from 1 species
UACAGAGGUCCCAAGCGUUGUUCGGAUUCAUUGGGCGUAAAGGGUGCGUAGGUGGCGCCGUAAGUCGGGUGUGAAAUUUCGGAGCUUAACUCCGAAACUGCAUUCGAUACUGCGGUGCUCGAGGACUGGAGAGGAGACUGGAAUUCAUGGUGUAGCAGUGAAAUGCGUAGAGAUCAUGAGGAAGACCAGUGGCGAAGGCGAGUCUCUGGACAACUCCUGACACUGAGGCACGAAAGCUAGGGGAGCAAACAGG